rnacentral:rRNA from 1 species
GACGGAAGGUGCAAGCGUUGCUCGGAAUCACUGGGCGUAAAGGGUGCGUAGGCGGCGCGGUAAGUCGGGUGUGAAAUCUCGGGGCUUAACUCCGAAACUGCAUUCGAUACUGCCGUGCUUGAGGACUGGAGAGGAGACUGGAAUUUACGGUGUAGCGGUGAAAUGCGUAGAUAUCGUAAGGAAGACCAGUGGCGAAGGCGGGUCUCUGGACAGUUCCUGACGCUGAGGCACGAAGGCCAGGGGAGCAAACGGG